GCCCGCCGAAUGUGUUCCUUC
rnacentral:siRNA from 1 species